rnacentral:rRNA from 1 species
CAGCAGCCGCGGUAACACGUAGGGUGCGAGCGUUAAUCGGAAUUGCUGGGCGUAAAGCGUGCGCAGGCGGUUUUGUAAGACAGGCGUGAAAUCCCCGGGCUCAACCUGGGAAUGGCGCUUGUGACUGCAAAGCUAGAGUGCGGCAGAGGGGGAUGGAAUUCCGCGUGUAGCAGUGAAAUGCGUAGAUAUGCGGAGGAACACCGAUGGCGAAGGCAAUCCCCUGGGCCUGCACUGACGCUCAUGCACGAAAGCGUGGGGAGCAAACAGGAUUAGAUACCCCAGUAGUCCCUGUCUCUUAUAC